ensembl:lncRNA
GGCAUGAUGAUGAGGAAAAGGGUAGAUAACAGAGCUAAAAGACAAUCUGUGUUGUGCGUGGGGGAGAGUUGUGAUGUUAUGACUAGACAGGAGAGCUGGCAUCGGGUGGUAAAGUCUGUGAAUGCCCUCCUGAAGAAGUGCAGCUCCUGAGCUAUAGGUAAAGGAAAUCAUCAGAAAGAUUUUGAGCAAGGAAAUGAGGAUAACUAAACUGUCCUUUCCAUGAGGAGGAACUAAAAUAUGAACCAGCCAGAAAGAAGAGAUUUGGUUGACCAAGACAUGUCUUAGAGUUUGGUCAAGGGCUCUGCUCACAGGUUUCUACACUUGUACAAAUGCUGAAGAUGGAAAGGCCUUUCCUGAUUUGUUUGGAGAAUUGAAAUAGAAUUUUGCUUUCUUGCUGGAGGUCUCCAGAGGGGAUAGUCUCAUGAGAUGGAGCAAUUGAUCACAUUUGAUGGUUACCAGCUGGAUAAUGCACCUUCAAAUGGACUUUCCCCACUUCCUUGCCUCGUUUUACUAUUGCCUGCUUCCUUGAGGUUGAACCC